UAGCCUUGACAUUGAUUGAAUUUUCCAGAGAUGGAGAAGUGCCUUUCGGGGAACAUGAAAACAGGUGCUGCACGGCUGUCGUCAGCACGUGUCGUGAGAUGUUGGGUUAAGUCCCGCAACGAGCGCAACCCUCGUCGUUAGUUGCUAACAGGUUAAGCUGAGCACUCUAGCGAGACUGCCUUCGCAAGGAGGAGGAAGGUGAGGACGACGUCAAGUCAUCAUGGCCCUUAUGGCUAGGGCUACACACGUGCUACAAUGGGGCGUACAGAGAGUUGCGAUACCGCGAGGUGGAGCCAAUCUCAUAAAGCGUCUCUCAGUUCGGAUUGUUCUCUGCAACUCGAGAACAUGAAGCUGGAAUCACUAGUAAUCGUAGAUCAGCAACGCUACGGUGAAUACGUUCCCGGGUCU
rnacentral:rRNA from 1 species